GGUUCUGCUCCUUCUUCGAGUCCAUUUCUGCGAGUGGUGAACUGUUGGUUGACGUCUACUGUGGAAGAAAUCUCAAUUCCUCGAUCGAUUUUGAAGGAAGAAAUUAGAAAUGAAGUUCAUCAUGGAGUUUGCCGAGAAUUUGGUAUUAAGAAUUAUGGAGGAUCCAAAAGAGAGGGAUCGCAAAUUCCGAGAGCGCCUGUAUGCGGUAAAGGACCGAUGCCAAAAGACGAAGGAGAUGUGGAGCUAUCCUCUCCGUCCUUACGGAUUUUGGACGUUUGACCGCCACAAUGCUCAGCUGCAUUGGGAUGCACAAAUUAGCCAGGUUCCUGGUAGAAGGGAUCCUUAUGAUGACAUGCUACAGGACAUCCACAAUAACUCCAAGUGAUUUAUGAAGAAUACUCGCAAGAGCUCUGAAAUUGCAGGUGGAAACUGGGAAGCUCUCGAGCAAUUGUUUGAACGUAUGUUUUUUGUUGUUUUAAUUUCACGUUGUGUUGUUGAACACCUUGUGGUUUGUUGUUGUUUAAUAAACGGGCUGGUUUGCGUUUUGAGCUCAUUGUUUUUUCUGACAAAGAGUAACGUAAACAGCCUCGAUUGAUUAGUAAGAACAAAUUAAAAUAAAGGUUUUUGUUUAGUUGA